rnacentral:piRNA from 1 species
UGACAAUGAGAGCAUCGUGUAGAAAUGGA